CUCUGUCUUUCGGUGUAGGGUCUUAGGCUGGGCUGCGCGUUCGGGACCUUAGAAGGCACUUCUAAGGUCCCGAGCGCGCAGCCCAGCUUAAGACCCUACACCGAAAGAUGGA